AACGAACGCUGGCGGCAUGCCUAACACAUGCAAGUCGAACGAGACCUUCGGGUCUAGUGGCGCACGGGUGCGUAACGCGUGGGAACCUGCCCUUAGGGUCGGAAUAACUCCCCGAAAGGGGUGCUAAUACCGGAUAAUGUCUUCGGACCAAAGAUUUAUCGCCUUUGGAUGGGCCCGCGUUGGAUUAGGUAGUUGGUAGGGUAAAAGCCUACCAAGGCGACGAUCCAUAGCUGGUCUGAGAGGAUGAUCAGCCACACUGGGACUGGGACACGGCCCAGACUCCUACGGGAGGCAGCAGUGGGGAAUAUUGGACAAUGGGCGAAAGGCUGAUCCAGCAAUGCCGCGUGAGUGAUGAAGGCCUUAGGGUUGUAAAGCUCUUUUACCCGGGAUGAUAAUGACAGUACCGGGAGAAUAAGCUCCGGCUAACUCCGUG
rnacentral:rRNA from 1 species